rnacentral:rRNA from 1 species
ACGCUGGCGGCAGGCCUAACACAUGCAAGUCGAGCGCGAAAGCACUUCGGUGUGAGUAGAGCGGCGGACGGGUGAGUAACGCGUAGGAAUCUACCUAGUAGUGGGGGACAACUCGGGGAAACUCGAGCUAAUACCGCAUAAGCCCUACGGGGGAAAGCGGGGGACCUUCGGGCCUCGUGCUAUUAGAUGAGCCUGCGUUGGAUUAGCUAGUUGGUGGGGUAAAGGCCUACCAAGGCGACGAUCCAUAGCUGGUCUGAGAGGAUGAUCAGCCACACCGGGACUGAGACACGGCCCGGACUCCUACGGGAGGCAGCAGUGGGGAAUAUUGCGCAAUGGGCGAAAGCCUGACGCAGCCAUGCCGCGUGUGUGAAGAAGGCCUUCGGGUUGUAAAGCACUUUCAAUUGGGAGGAAAGGUUCACGGUUAAUAACCGUGAGCUGUGACGUUACCUUAGAAGAAGCACCGGCUAACUCCG